CGGAGGGAAACCGAGUCUUAAUUGGGCGUUAAGUUGCAGGGUAUAGACCCGAAACCCGGUGAUCUAGCCAUGGGCAGGUUGAAGGUUGGGUAACACUAACUGGAGGACCGAACCGACUAAUGUUGAAAAAUUAGCGGAUGACCUGUGGCUGGGGGUGAAAGGCCAAUCAAACCGGGAGAUAGCUGGUUCUCCCCGAAAGCUAUUUAGGUAGCGCCUCGUGAAUUCAUCUCCGGGGGUAGAGCACUGUUUCGGCUAGGGGGCCAUCCCGGCUUACCAACCCGAUGCAAACUGCGAAUACCGGAGAAUGUUAUCACGGGAGACACACGGCGGGUGCUAACGUCCGUCGUGAAGAGGGAAACAACCCAGACCGCCAGCUAAGGUCCCAAAGUCAUGGUUAAGUGGGAAACGAUGUGGGAAGGCCCAGACAGCCAGGAUGUUGGCUUAGAAGCAGCCAUCAUUUAAAGAAAGCGUAAUAGCUCACUGGUCGAGUCGGCCUGCGCGGAAGAUGUAACGGGGCUAAACCAUGCACCGAAGCUGCGGCAGCGACGCUUAUGCGUUGUUGGGUAGGGGAGCGUUCUGUAAGCCUGUGAAGGUGGCCUGUGAGGGUUGCUGGAGGUAUCAGAAGUGCGAAUGCUGACAUAAGUAACGAUAAAGCGGGUGAAAAGCCCGCUCGCCGGAAGACCAAGGGUUCCUGUCCAACGUUAAUCGGGGCAGGGUGAGUCGACCCCUAAGGCGAGGCCGAAAGGCGUAGUCGAUGGGAAACGGGUUAAUAUUCCCGUACUUGGUGUUACUGCGAAGGGGGGACGGAGAAGGCUAUGUUGGCCGGGCGACGGUUGUCCCGGUUUAAGCGUGUAGGUGUGUGUUCCAGGUAAAUCCGGUU
rnacentral:rRNA from 1 species